AUUGAACGCUGGCGGCAUGCUUUACACAUGCAAGUCGAACGGUAACAGGCCGCAAGGUGCUGACGAGUGGCGAACGGGUGAGUAAUGCAUCGGAACGUGCCCAGUCGUGGGGGAUAACGCAGCGAAAGCUGUGCUAAUACCGCAUACGACCUAUGGAUGAAAGCGGGGGACCGUAAGGCCUCGCCCGAUUGGCGCGGCCGAUGUCAGAUUAGCUAGUUGGUGGGGUAAAGGCCCACCAAGGCGACGAUCUGUAGCUGGUCUGAGAGGACGACCAGCCACACUGGGACUGAGACACGGCCCAGACUCCUACGGGAGGCAGCAGUGGGGAAUUUUGGACAAUGGGCGCAAGCCUGAUCCAGCAAUGCCGCGUGCAGGAAGAAGGCCUUCGGGUUGUAAACUGCUUUUGUACGGAACGAAACGGUCUGGGUUAAUACCCUGGGCUAAUGACGGUACCGUAAGAAUAAGCACCGGCUAACUACGUGCCAGCAGCCGCCGUAACAC
rnacentral:rRNA from 1 species